rnacentral:lncRNA from 1 species
ACAUAAGUCAUUCUAACACCAACAUAAAAUAAUAAUAAAAUAUUUUAACUUAAUAAAAAUAAAUAAACAAAAAAUUAGGGAGCUACAACUCUCCCCCACUUAAGGAAUAUUUGCCCUCGAAAUUUACCUAAAGGAAACUGCUCCGAAUAAGAUUCAUUCAUCCAACUCUCUAGCUCCCACGUCACACUUUCUCCAGCAGAUCCUCC